UUUUAAUCCAUAAUUAACCUGAAUUAACUAAUUAUUAAUCCUAUUUACCUUAAUUAAUUCUUAAUUAACUAUUAAUGACAGUAAUUAAGCAUUAAGGCUAAACAAUAAUUAAAUGCCAAAGGUCAUUAGGGUUAAUGACCUCAGGUCAUCACACAAUCCCAAAAUCACUCAACCCUAAUGAUGAGGAUUUAACUAAUUAUUAUUUAAUUAUUUUGGAAUUAUUACUUAGGCACUAAAUAAGGGUUUAUUAACAUUUUAACCAAACCUUAUCCAAAUGCCACCAAAUUUUCUGUGGAGCCAGGGAAUAAUAUUCAGAGGCUCCCCACAAUUUUUGGUGAUUUUUGGACAUACAAAUAAAUUAUUAAAAAUCAUACAAGUUUUAUUUGCUAAUUAAAAGGGCCAAUUUUUAUAUCCUUGCAAACUAUUAGAAAGCAGAAUCUAGUAUUUUUCUUGGAUCCUACAUAUUUCAGAGAGUUUAUACAAAAAUUCUCAUUAUUUUUGGAUCAUCACACAAUUUAUUACACAAAUUCAAAUAUAAAACAAAAACUGCAUAAAAGAAAAAAAGAAAAGACACUGCAGCGGGUGGCCGGAUUUCGGCUCGCAGGCCGGCCCGCUUCGGCUCGGCCCGCGCGGACGCUGCGCACGCCGCCUUCUCUCCGUGCGGUCGCUGACAAGCGGGGCCUGCUCGUCAGGCCUCUCCAC
rnacentral:lncRNA from 1 species